rnacentral:RNase_P_RNA from 1 species
CGAGCGGGACAAGGCGAUCGCGGCGUGACGCGCGAGCGGCCACGUCGAGGAAAGUCCGGGCUCCACAGGGCAGGGUGCUGGCGCAGGCCAGUCGGGGUGACCCGAAGGAAAGUGCCACAGAGAACAGACCGCCCGCGUCCGCGCGGGUAAGGGUGAAACGGUGUGGUAAGAGCACACCGGGUCUUCGGCGACGAAGACCGCAUGGUAAACCCCAUCCGGAGCAAGGCCGAGCAGGGGCAGGCGGGUGCGAGCGUCGCGAGACGUUCGAGGGCUCGCCAGGGGCGGCCCGCCCCGCCUCGGGUAGCGCCGCCAAGAGGAAUGAUCGCCACCCGCGAAGAGCAAUCGACGCGGGGACAGAACCCGGCUUACGACCCGUCUCGACCG